rnacentral:rRNA from 1 species
AGUGAACGCUGGCGGUAGGCCUAACACACGCAAGUCGAACGGCAGCACAGUAAGAGCUUGCUCUUACGGGUGGCGAGUGGCGGACGGGUGAGGAAUACAUCGGAAUCUACUUUUUCGUGGGGGAUAACGUAGGGAAACUUACGCUAAUACCGCAUACGACCUACGGGUGAAAGCAGGGGAUCUUCGGACCUUGCGCGAUUGAAUGAGCCGAUGUCGGAUUAGCUAGUUGGCGGGGUAAAGGCCCACCAAGGCGACGAUCCGUAGCUGGUCUGAGAGGAUGAUCAGCCACACUGGAACUGAGACACGGUCCAGACUCCUACGGGAGGCAGCAGUGGGGAAUAUUGGACAAUGGGCGCAAGCCUGAUCCAGCCAUACCGCGUGGGUGAAGAAGGCCUUCGGGUUGUAAAGCCCUUUUGUUGGGAAGGAAAAGCAGCAGGUUAAUACCCCGCUGUUCUGACGGUACCCAAAGAAUAAGCACCGGCUAACUUCGUG